rnacentral:rRNA from 1 species
UACGUAGGGUGCAAGCGUUGUCCGGAAUUAUUGGGCGUAAAGAGCUUGUAGGCGGUUUGUCGCGUCUGCUGUGAAAUUUCGGGGCUCAACCCCGAACUUGCAGUGGGUACAGGCAGACUAGAGUGUGGUAGGGGAGACUGGAAUUCCUGGUGUAGCGGUGAAAUGCGCAGAUAUCAGGAGGAACACCGAUGGCGAAGGCAGGUCUCUGGGCCAUAACUGACGCUGAGAAGCGAAAGCAUGGGGAGCGAACAGG